rnacentral:rRNA from 1 species
GAUGGGCAUGCGUUGUAUUAGCUAGUUGGUGAGGUAACGGCUCACCAAGGCAACGAUACAUAGGGGGACUGAGAGGUUAACCCCCCACAUUGGUACUGAGACACGGACCAAACUCCUACGGGAGGCAGCAGUGAGGAAUAUUGGUCAAUGGACGCAAGUCUGAACCAGCCAUGCCGCGUGCAGGAAGACGGCUCUAUGAGUUGUAAACUGCUUUUGUACUAGGGUAAACGCUCCUACGUGUAGGAGUCUGAAAGUAUAGUACGAAUAAGGAUCGGCUAACUCCGUGCCAGCAGCCGCGGUAAUACGGAGGAUCCAAGCGUUAUCCGGAUUUAUUGGGUUUAAAGGGUGCGUAGGCGGUUUGAUAAGUUAGAGGUGAAAUACCGGGGCUCAACUCCGGAACUGCCUCUAAUACUGUUGAACUAGAGAGUAGUUGCGGUAGGCGGAAUGUAUGGUGUAGCGGUGAAAUGCUUAGAGAUCAUACAGAACACCGAUUGCGAAGGCAGCUUACCAAACUAUAUCUGACGUUGAGGCACGAAAGCGUGGGGAGCAAACAGGAUUAGAUACCCUGGUAGUCCACGCAGUAAACGA